rnacentral:misc_RNA from 1 species
CACCACUAGUCAUUACCAUGAAACUCAAAUUACCCAAUUUGGAGGGUUACAUUUAGAAAAGUAAAUCAUAUUCAUAAUACAAGUUAAUCAUGUUCAUGAUACAAAUCUUUAGAAGAAAUAGUUAAAUACAAUGACAAUACAAAAUGUCAUGGCCACAUCUCCAUAUCUAUCCCACCCAAAAAGAGGAAAAAAAAGCUCAGAAUAGCUUACUAGUUAACUUUUAGCUAACACAAAAUUUGAUUUGCUAUCUGCCAAGUCAAUUGCCUCUAACUUCAACUUCUGAAUGGAUCUUCAAUUCAUUGUGCUAAUGGAGCUUUAGUUAUAUUGUACAUAAGCCUAUUUCUAUGUAAUAAUAAUAUAUCCUAAGAAGAAGCAAACUGCUCUGAUAUUGUAAGAGAGACUUUCAGACAUCUAUUGACAUGUAACAGGAGUACUGAAGGUCGAUGAAGAACAUUUGUAACAAGUAUCAUUUGAUUAAACAGGAGCUGG